UACGGAAGGUAGCAGGGGGAAUAUUGCACAAUGGGCGCAAGCCUGAUGCAGCCAUGCCGCGUGUAUGAAGAAGGCCUUCGGGUUGUAAAGUACUUUCAGUCGUGAGGAAGGUGUUAAGGUUAAUAACCUUAGCAAUUGACGUUAGCGACAGAAGAAGCACCGGCUAACUCCGUGCCAGCAGCCGCGGUAAUACGGAGGGUGCGAGCGUUAAUCGGAAUUACUGGGCGUAAAGGGCACGCAGGCGGUUAAUUAAGUUGGAUGUGAAAUCCCCGGGCUUAACCUGGGAAUGGCAUUCAAGACUGGUUAGCUAGAGUCUUGUAGAGGGGGUAGAAUUCCAUGUGUAGCGGUGAAAUGCGUAGAGAUGUGGAGGAAUACCGGUGGCGAAGGCGGCCCCUGGACAAAGACUGACGCUCAUGUGCGAAAGCGUGGGGAGCAAACAGGGAUUAGAUACC
rnacentral:rRNA from 1 species